GUCCAGCUGACGAGUCCGAAAUAGGACGAAACGCGCAUCCUGGAU
rnacentral:hammerhead_ribozyme from 1 species